UUUUUUUUUUGUCUUCAUCCCUUUUCUUUGUCUUGAUAUCAACAAUUUGGAUAGGAUGCAACAAUAGCUAAAUGCCAAAUGUUACAACCCACAUAGAGAUACAUAUGAGUUUAUGUAGACAAAUAUGAGGGAAGCAAUCAGAUAAAUUUGACAGCACAAUGCAUAAAAUAUUAAAAAAGAACAAACCCAGAUGCAUAUCCAUAUAUCCUCUGUUGCUUGUAUCUGUCCUCACUAGAAAAUAAGAUACAAGAUACCUUAAUGCUAUCUCCAUUUUGUUUUUAGUUUUUGUAGUUUUGCUUGUUUGGAUGAUUGCAAACAUUGCUUGCAUGCUAAUCACAUAACAUAUCCAUUUUCUCUUAAAAAAAAUUGAAAAUUAACAAGUAAAAAACAAGCUUACCCAAUCUUUCACUUGUUUAACUCACAAAACCCAUCUGUAAAAUAGUUUCUGAUCUCAUUCAUUUAUCAUUGCUAUUAGGACAAAUUAUUACCCUUGUUACUAUGAUUUUAUAUAUAAAAAUACACAUAUGUUUCACUUUUCCCUGUCAAAAAGGGCAAAAAUACACCUGUAGAGAGAGAGAGAGAGAGAG
rnacentral:misc_RNA from 1 species